rnacentral:rRNA from 1 species
GAUGAACGCUGGCGGCGUGCCUAAUACAUGCAAGUCGAGCGAACAGACGAGGAGCUUGCUCCUCUGACGUUAGCGGCGGACGGGUGAGUAACACGUGGAUAACCUACCUAUCAGACUGGGAUAACUUCGGGAAACCGGAGCUAAUACCGGAUAAUAUAUUGAACCGCAUGGUUCAAUAGUGAAAGACGGUUUUGCUGUCACUUAUAGAUGGAUCCGCGCCGCAUUAGCUAGUUGGUAAGGUCACGGCUUACCAAGGCAACGAUGCGUAGCCGACCUGAGAGGGUGGUCGGCCACACGGGAACGUGGACACGGUCCAGGCGCCUACGGGAGGCAGCAGUAGGGAAUCGGCCGCAAUGGGCGAAAGCCUGACGGAGCAACGCCGCGUGAGUGAUGAAGGUCUUCGGAGCGGAAAACUCUGUUAUUAGGGAAGAACAAAUGUGUAAGUAACUAUGCACUGCUUGACGGUACCUAAUCAGAAAGCCACGGCUAACUACGUG